CUUGGGACCUCCAUUGGGAAUAUUGUUCAAGUAGCUGUUCUCGGAAGGAAGGACAGUACACAUCUGCUAAAAGGAUGUUGUCUCAGGAAGAUAUGCUUUGUUAUGCUGAGUCAAAGCUGAAUGAUCACCUUUCUCCAGAAAAAGAAUAGUAGCAGGAUAACCCAGCACUUCCUGACUGAGAGACCAACUGCUCUUCCAGUCAGAAUCUUCUCCUCCUCAAGAUUCCAAUCUCCUCCUGGGACCCCUCUCCCCUCCAGGUGAUCAGUUCCACACACUCUUCAGUCUGGCACUUUUCCUUUAGUACCAGCCUCUGUCACGGUAUCUUGUGAAAUACAUCUUCCAUG
rnacentral:lncRNA from 1 species